CUACGGACUUAGAAAACUGAGCCUUGAGGAAGAAAUUCUUCAAGUGGAAGCUCUCAAACUCAGGGAAACCUAAAUCUGGUUUCAGACAAGGCAAUCCUGAGCCAAGCCCAAAAAUUUUAGAUUUUAAAUUUUAGAUUUUAGAUUGCACUUCAGUCCAAAAUUCAAAAUCCAAAAUCCAAAAUUAAAGGGAAGGUGCAGAGACUCGACGGGAGCUACCCUAACGUCAAGGCGAGGGUAAAGAGAGAGUCCAAUUCUCAAAACCGGAAG
rnacentral:ncRNA from 1 species